AGAGUUUGAUCAUGGCUCAGAACGAACGCUGGCGGCGUGCUUAACACAUGCAAGUCGAACGGGAUCCAGCGCUUGCUCUGGUGAGAGUGGCGCACGGGUGAGUAACGCGUGGAUAACCUGCCCUGGUAUCCGGAAUAACAUCUCGAAAGGGGUGCUAAUACCGGAUAAGCCUACGGAGCCCUCGGUCUCUGCAGGGAAAGGUGGCCUCUAUUUAUAAGCUACCGUAUCAGGAUGGGUCCGCGUACCAUUAGCUAGUUGGUGGGGUAAUGGCCUACCAAGGCCACGAUGGUUAGCUGGUCUGAGAGGAUGAUCAGCCACACUGGAACUGAGACACGGUCCAGACUCCUACGGGAGGCAGCAGUGGGGAAUUUUGCGCAAUGGGGGAAACCCUGACGCAGCAACGCCGCGUGAGUGAUGAAGGCUUUCGGGUCGUAAAGCUCUGUCAGAGGGGAAGAAAUGAGAUUGGCUAAUAUCCAAUUUUCUUGACGGUACCCUCAAAGGAAGCACCGGCUAACUCCGUGCCAGCAGCCGCGGUAAUAC
rnacentral:rRNA from 1 species